UAAUUCGAUGCAACGCGAAGAACCUUACCUGGUCUUGACAUAGUAAGAACUUACCAGAGAUGGAUUGGUGCCUUCGGGAACUUACAUACAGGUGCUGCAUGGCUGUUGUCAGCUCGUGUCGUGAGGAUGUUGGGUUAAGUCCCGCAACGAGCGCAACCCCUUUUCCUUAUUUGCCAGCGGGUUAAGCCGGGAACUUUAAGGAUACUGCCAGUGACAAACUGGAGGAAGGCGGGGACGACGUCAAGUCAUCAUGGCCCUUACGACCAGGGCUACACACGUGCUACAAUGGUCGGUACAAAGGGUUGCUACCUAGCGAUAGGAUGCUAAUCUCAAAAAGCCGAUUCGUAGUCCGGAUUGGAGUUUGCAACUUGACUCCAGAAGUCGGAAUCGCUAGUAAUC
rnacentral:rRNA from 1 species